UUCAUCUGUACAUCCCUAGAGUUCAUCAUUUGCAGUGACAGAACCAAAUGGGUGAAAGGCUGCGUUCUCGUCUGUGUUUUGGACCCUCAUCCAAAAUUAAAAAAAAUUUAAAAAAAUGGAUGGGAGGACAAAACGGAGUCAGCAAGAGAGGUCUCCAACAAUUUAUCACUGCAGUGCUUUGUGCACAAACACAUUAUACCCUAGUAACCCAAACAAUUGAAUGCAUUUCUGAGCAUAUACAUCUCAGUUGCCCUCAGCUCCCCCAUUCUUCCAUCAUAAGAAUGAGGGCUUGAAUGCGGCUUUAUUUUCAUGCAAGAGGUUUCCAUCCACACGUUUGUCCCACCUGCAUUCCACAUUGUUUGUGUUAUGCACGGUAAGACUUUUCUGUUCGAGAGACUUCAGAGUGCCAGCAUACUAAUGUACCAGUGUAAAGGUAUAGUGUGCUCAGGGGUGUAGCAAGGUUGUAGUGGGCCCAGAGACAAGAUUUUAAAAUCCCCCUCCCCCCACUGAAGCUCAGCUCAUGAAGUAAAGAAAUCUUUAAUGAGGCUGAGUAGUGGUAACAAAAAGCAUAGUAAAAUUUUAUUUUUAUAUAUAUAUACACACACAAACCCUAUGUGCCACAAUAGAACGUCAUCCUAAAUUAUUUUUUAAAAGGUUUUGUAAAUUGUGGAUGAUGCAAGUCAUUUAAUGGUACUAGAGAAAGACAUGCUGUUCUGGUAGCUCCAGGUCUUAACACUCACAUCAGUUUCAGAGGAUGAUACAACUGAAGGAAGCCCAGGUGGGUGCGCAGCUGGGGGAGUCAGUCAUGUGACUUGCCUCGGUGGGGGGGGGGCAGACAACAGUCUCCCCUUGCCCUAUUAUAGUUAUGCUCCUGAGUGUGCCAUCGAGUCGGUGUCAGCUCCUGGCGACCACGAAGCCCUGUGGUUUUCUUUUGGUAGAGUACAGGCGGGGUUUACCAUUGCCUCCUCCUGCGCAGUAUGAGAUGAUGCCUUUCAGCAUCUUCCUAUAUUGCUGCUGCCCGAUAUAGUACCAAUGGGGAUUCGAAACGGCAACCUUCUGCUUGUUAAUCAAGCAUUUCCCUGCUGUGCCACAGUGACCAUCACUGCAUGCAGUACUACAGAUGUGGCCACUCUAUAGAUUUGUAUAAGGGCAUCUUUGGUAAAGUAAAGUGUGUUUCCCAUAGUCUGAGAAACAUACCUGCAAGGCUUCAAACCGGCAGCCUCUGGCUUGCUAGUAAAGUAAUUUCCUACUGCACCAUUUGGUGGCUUAAUGUACCAGUGUACCAAGGUGUUAAUGUACUAUCAAACCAUACUCCAAGGGAUCCCUCUUAUGUGGCAAUGCACUCUUUGGCUAUCAGGGAGGGCUUGGCCAGUGGAUGUGUGAGGAGGCAAAAGGAAUUGGACCAGGGAUGUAUUUUGUAGGUUUACUUGAGGUUUCAAGAAUUGCAAUGAAUGUUGGGUCCAGGUAAGCAAAGAUUAAUCCUUUUAACCUAUCUGCAAAGCAAGCCUAACUAGCAAGGAAGAAGGCAGAAGGGAAAGGAGGAGAGGAUGAGGGAAGUUUGUUACCAAAAGGGCCAGGAAACCAGUGAAUGGCCAAUUUACAGUUUCUCCUGUUGACUGAGGAUGCUGGGGUCCGAAGAAAAGCUGGGGUGCACAAAGCUGGGGUGUGAGGAACACUGCAGCAUUGCAGAGGGUGAAGAUGUGCCUUCUGGACCUGCCCUCUGAUGAUCUGGAUCAGACCCCAGGGUCUUACACACCUCCUGGCCUUUGAUGGUUCAGGGGAGUCAGCCUCCCAUCCAUCAGGGUGUAGUUAUGCCAUCUUUGACACCAUCCUUCUGAGCUCAGGAAAUGUUCUCUCACCCUCUGGUCCUGCUGUCACAAAUGACCCCACAUUAUAUUCCUCCUCUCCUGCACCCCAUGGCUUGGUACAGGAAGUUUCAGAUGAGUUGUUGUCCCUCUCUUCCUCGCUCUGGUCUUUGGCCUUGAUGGGUAAGCACUAGCUGUCAAACAACUAUUGCUUUCCUUUCCUGGCCCUUUGGCCAUCAAAUAUUGUGUUAACACUUCAGAGUGGGGAUUUAAGGGUGGAGGGGAUUUGAAAGAUGAGGUCACAACUAGGUUAUUUCCCCACAUAAGGCACAUAUGCCAGGCCUUUGGAGGAGUAAUACAACGGUCUGUGAAGAUCAUACUGAGCUAGAUAGACCAAUGGUCUGACUCAGUAUAUGGCAGUUUCCUAUGUAACAGUGCAUAUCAGAAAUACCAAAGUUACAAUUUGUACUCAUUCUUUCCUAAGCUAUGGCUCUAAUACUGAUAAAUGUAACUAAUGUGGGACUCGGGAUUCUACUAUCUAGCUUUCAGAGCUACGAUUACAAUCAGGAAGGCUGUUGAAUCUUUCAGCACAUUCACUCUUCAGUAUUUUGGGUACAAGUUCCUUCGUCACAGCUGCUGGUACAAAUAAUGCCUAUAUUCAAGCUGGCACAAGUAAACGAAAGCUAUAACAUUUGAAAUGCCGUGAGGACUGGCGUGCACAUAACACCCCUCCUGCACACUGCUGGCUUUGCGCGUACGCCCCCAUCCCUCUUCCUUUCCCUUCACAUGAAUAGUGUCCCAUGCCCUGUUCCUCUAACCAUCUACUUGGAAAAUCACCACCAGCCAUACAGUCUCGGUGUUCAACAAUGGCGUCACUAUCUACAAAUGGCACUGAUACUGAAAGCAGCCAGACUGGGGAUGGAAGCAGGCAAGUCCAUGCAGCAGGCCAGGGAGCAGCAGGCCCCUUGCAUAGGGAGCUAUGUCGGCCUCCACCUCGUCAACUACCACCACCGCCUCUGCCCAUCCAGGUAGUUCUAUGGCAGCCUCAACCAUGGUUCAGCAUGCAACUAUGUCAGUAUUACAGACUUGGGCCAUAAAGGUUGCAAGUUGCUCAGGCAAGCCAGUUAGGUAAGCCUCCCCUUCCCAUGGAGCGCACACGUGAAGCUGCUUUCACUGAAACUUCUCAGGAAGGCAGAGAGUGCAGUGAGCCUGUGCUUUUGCGGGUUCUGGAUGACCAGGAACAGGCACUUCACCCUGCACUGUACUCCCUAGGCUCUGAGGUGGAAGAUGACGAGACACAAAUUGAGGCCCUUGAACAGCUAACGCCCACCCAAUAUGUAGAAGAGGACAGCCAAGGUUCCCUGCUGUAGAGGGAGCAUGUGCAGAGUGUCCCACCUGGCACAAGCAGCUUCCUGGAGCAACUUCAGGACAUGCAGCAGUCAGAGGAACUGUUCUCACAUUCCCUGACAGACGUGUUCUCCAGGACAGGUAGCGAAAGAAUUUCUCCGGGUUUCCGACCGACACUUGUUUGCUGAAGGAGCUGGUGGUUCAGACAGUGCUUCAGAAGAGCACCAUCUCCAGCAAGGAGACAUACCUGGGUUGUGACACACACACACACCCCGAGGAACCACGCCCACAAGAGGAUGUGCCCACUCAUCCUGCAGCCCCAGAAGAAGGGCCUGCACCCAGAAGGCCACUCUCCAAUGCAGAGUGUGCAGCAUAACUGAGGAGCAGGAGGCAUGUGGAUCGCUUGCAGUGGACCUCGUGGCCCAGAAUGCAGAGCUGUCAGGCCAUAUGCACCCUCCUCCGAGAACUGGACCACAAUGAAGACCAGAGGCGGGCAGAAGACAGGAGAAUCUUCCAGGCAGUCUCCAAGCACGCAGUACAGGAAGUGAUCAGGGCUGUGGAGUGCUCCAAUGCCACAGCAGAGAGGCGGCUUGAAUGCAACAUGGCCUACCUCGAGAGGACAGCUGAAUCAAUUGUACGAUUGGCGGAGCAGUCACCAGCAUAUCAUCCCCACCAGCGGCAACUGUACCAGCCACAGGUGCUCAUGCAGGCACCUUACAUGCCGGCAUACCCGGGGACGACCCAAGGCACCCCAGCCUUUGCACCUCCUCUAGAACCAUUUCUGCAUCCACAGACAGGGCAAGGGCCCUCUGGGCUCACACACCAGCAGCCAAUACAGCACGCCCCCGUCCCCCCUGGUGCAGCACCCACUGCCCCAAACCCAGAGCACGGCAGCAAAAGGAACAUGCAUAUGUCAUACAAAACAUGCUAUGGCCCACCUGCACAUCCCCCAGGAAAAAAAUCCACUUUGCAAAAAGGCAAGGGUGCACGCCCACACUACUGCCUAGGUUGCGGGAAGGGGAAAGGACAAAAUCAGAGUGAUGGUGGUGGCAAACAUCCUCCUGAUUCUUCCUCAAUACUGGAUGAGGAUUAAGGCAUACAUGUGGAGGAGAAGUCUCUGGAAAAAUGCUAAGUCAAAAUUCUUUGCACCAUGACUUUAAGGGUUUUUUGUUUUAAUGGGCAUUUCAGUUUCCAUGCAAAAUUUGUUGUUUUUUUAAGAACCCCUGUGUCUGUGAGUUACACAGUGAGGAUACAAAAAAAGGUUUUGGAAAUGUUUUCUACCAAUAAACACAAUUUUAAAAUGG